rnacentral:rRNA from 1 species
GGACUACUGGGGUUUCUAAUCCUGUUUGCUACCCACGCUUUCGCUCCUCAGCGUCAGUCACGGCCCAGAGUGCCGCCUUCGCUACUGGUGUUCCUCCCGAUAUCUGCGCAUUUCACCGCUACACCGGGAAUUCCACACUCCCCUACCGGACUCGAGUCACAGCAGUAUCAGGUGGCCGCUCCGUGUUGAGCACGGAGAUUUCACACCCGACUUACUGAACCGCCUACGAGCUCUUUACGCCCAAUGAAUCCGGACAACGCUCGCUCCCUACGUAUUACCGCGGCUGCUGGCAC